GAUGAACGCUGGCGGCGUGCCUAAUACAUGCAAGUCGAGCGAACAGACGAGGAGCUUGCUCCUCUGACGUUAGCGGCGGACGGGCGAGUAACACGUGGAUAACCUACCUAUAAGACUGGGAUAACUUCGGGAAACCGGAGCUAAUACCGGAUAAUAUAUUGAACCGCAUGGUUCAAUAGUGAAAGACGGUUUUGCUGUCACUUAUAGAUGGAUCCGCGCCGCAUUAGCUAGUUGGUAAGGUAACGGCUUACCAAGGCAACGAUGCGUAGCCGACCUGAGAGGGUGCUCGGCCACACUGGAACUGAGACACGGUCCAGACUCCUACGGGAGGCAGCAGUAGGGAAUCUUCCGCAAUGGGCGAAAGCCUGACGGAGCAACGCCGCGUGAGUGAUGAAGGUCUUCGGAUCGUAAAACUCUGUUAUUAGGGAAGAACAAAUGUGUAAGUAACUAUGCACGUCUUGACGGUACCUAAUCAGAAAGCCACGGCUAACUACGU
rnacentral:rRNA from 1 species